UUGAACGCUGGCGGCAGGCUUAACACAUGCAAGUCGAGCGGGGGAAGGUAGCUUGCUACUGGACCUAGCGGCGGACGGGUGAGUAAUGCUUAGGAAUCUGCCUAUUAGUGGGGGACAACAUCUCGAAAGGGAUGCCAAUACCGCAUACGUCCUACGGGAGAAAGCAGGGGAUCUUCGGACCUUGCGCUAAUAGAUGAGCCUAAGUCGGAUUAGCUAGUUGGUGGGGUAAAGGCCUACCAAGGCGACGAUCUGUAGCGGGUCUGAGAGGAUGAUCCGCCACACUGGGACUGAGACACGGCCCAGACUCCUACGGGAGGCAGCAGUGGGGAAUAUUGGACAAUGGGGGGAACCCUGAUC
rnacentral:rRNA from 1 species